rnacentral:rRNA from 1 species
UGAGGAAUAUUGGUCAAUGGACGGAAGUCUGAACCAGCCAAGUAGCGUGCAGGAUGACGGCCUUAUGGGUUGUAAACUGCUUUUAUACGGGGAUAAAGUUAGGGACGUGUCCCUAUUUGCAGGUACCGUAUGAAUAAGGACCGGCUAAUUCCGUGCCAGCAGCCGCGGUAAUACGGAAGGUCCGGGCGUUAUCCGGAUUUAUUGGGUUUAAAGGGAGCGUAGGCCGUAGAUUAAGUGUGUUGUGAAAUGUAGACGCUCAACGUCUGACUUGCAGCGCAUACUGGUUUACUUGAGUUUGCACAACGUUGGCGGAAUUCGUCGUGUAGCGGUGAAAUGCUUAGAUAUGACGAAGAACUCCGAUUGCGAAGGCAGCUUGCGGGAGCAAAACUGACGCUGAAGCUCGAAAGUGCGGGUAUCGAACAGG